rnacentral:rRNA from 1 species
UACGGAGGGAGCUAGCGUUGUUCGGAAUUACUGGGCGUAAAGCGUGCGCAGGCGGUUUGUUAAGUCUGUUGUGAAAUCCCCGAGCUCAACUUGGGAAUUGCAAUGGAUACUGGCAGGCUGGAGUAUGGUAGAGGAAGGUGGAAUUCCCGGUGUAGCAGUGAAAUGCGUAGAGAUCGGGAGGAACACCAGUGGCGAAGGCGGCCUUCUGGACCAAUACUGACGCUCAUGCACGAAAGCGUGGGGAGCAAACAGG